CCCAGUGUAGCUCAGUUGGUAGAGCACGUAAAACACCUGUUUGCUUUUCUCCCGCAAGGGUUGCGAUAGAAUGGGUUACUUAGUCUGCAAAACUCGUGGUCACAGGUUCGAGUCCUGUCGCUGGGU
rnacentral:tRNA from 1 species